rnacentral:lncRNA from 1 species
GUGAUAAGAUACAAGAAGGAACAAAUCAUACACAAUUUAAACAUUCAAUAAAGUUUUACAUAAAGUAUAUGGAUUAUGUAUGUAUGAUAUGAAAGUAGAAGAAUGGAUAUGGAAGGAUAAAUAUAAAGUUUGAGUUAGGUGGAGAAUUGACAGUAAAUCGUUGACAGAUGUCAUUUAUUUUGAAGUUAGUUGAAGAACUCAUUUCAUCAAAAUGUAAUUCCAACAAGACAAAUCUAGCCGAACAGUCAACCAGAAAAAUAUCUACAACACAUAAGAAAUGCCAUUUUGAGAUGUGCAAGAUAAACAAAACAUCAGAUAUUUGUGUUAUAUGUGAACUUCCAGUAUGCGGGAAAUGUGCUGGUCGUACAGUAUAAAGUGUUUACUGUCCAAAAUGUAUUGAAAUUACAAAUAAAUAAUUAUAUGUAAGUUAAAAUGUAUCUAUAUACUAUAUUU